rnacentral:rRNA from 1 species
GACGAACGCUGGCGGCGUGCUUAACACAUGCAAGUCGAACGGUGAAGCGCCUUCCUUUUUGGUGGGUGUGGAUGAGUGGCGAACGGGUGAGUAACACGUGAGUAACCUGCCCCCUUCUUCUGGAUAACCGCAUGAAAGUGUUGCUAAUACGGGAUAUUCUGGGUCUGUCGCAUGAUGGGUCUGGGAAAGAUAUUGUUUCGGUGGGGGAUGGGCUCGCGGCCUAUCAGCUUGUUGGUGGGGUGAUGGCCUACCAAGGCGGUGACGGGUAGCCGGCCUGGGUGCGUGGACGAGCAGAAUGGGGCUGAGGAACGGCCACACUGGGAACGAGAGACAGCAGUGAGGAAUAUGGGACGAAGGGGGGAGGGAUAAUGCAGAGACGCGGCGUGAGGGAUGGAGGCAUGCGGGUUGGAAGAAGCUUGCGCUAGUAAAGCAAGCCUGCGUCGUUUGGGGGUAGGUUGACGGUAGCUAAAAAGGAAGCGCCGGCUAACUACGUG